GGUUAAGCGACUAAGCGUACACGGUGGAUGCCCUGGCAGUCAGAGGCGAUGAAGGACGUGCUAAUCUGCGAUAAGCGUCGGUAAGGUGAUAUGAACCGUUAUAACCGGCGAUUUCCGAAUGGGGAAACCCAGUGUGUUUCGACACACUAUCAUUAACUGAAUCCAUAGGUUAAUGAGGCGAACCGGGGGAACUGAAACAUCUAAGUACCCCGAGGAAAAGAAAUCAACCGAGAUUCCCCCAGUAGCGGCGAGCGAACGGGGAGGAGCCCAGAGCCUGAAUCAGUGUGUGUGUUAGUGGAAGCGUCUGGAAAGGCGCGCGAUACAGGGUGACAGCCCCGUACACAAAAAUGCACAUGCUGUGAGCUCGAUGAGUAGGGCGGGACACGUGGUAUCCUGUCUGAAUAUGGGGGGACCAUCCUCCAAGGCUAAAUACUCCUGACUGACCGAUAGUGAACCAGUACCGUGAGGGAAAGGCGAAAAGAACCCCGGCGAGGGGAGUGAAAAAGAACCUGAAACCGUGUACGUACAAGCAGUGGGAGCACAGAGCAAUCUGUGUGACUGCGUACCUUUUGUAUAAUGGGUCAGCGACUUAUAUUCUGUAGCAAGGUUAACCGAAUAGGGGAGCCGAAGGGAAACCGAGUCUUAAC
rnacentral:rRNA from 2 species